GGGAAUCCCUACCCUACUCUCCAUUUUUAGCUCUUCUUUACCAGCCUCUAAAAUCCUUUCUUCCCUUCUUUUUUUUCUCUCCUUUUUUGCUUCUGGGUCUCCUCUGCUCUUUGAUUCUGUGCUCACAUGGACAAGUACGAGGUCGUUAAGGAUUUGGGUGCUGGCAAUUUCGGCGUUGCCCGACUUCUCAGGCAUAAGGACACCAAAGAGCUUGUUGCCAUGAAGUACAUAGAACGUGGUCACAAGAUAGAUGAGAAUGUGGCAAGA
rnacentral:misc_RNA from 1 species